CACGGUCACCUUUUGUGUCCAACUCUGCUCUGAGGUCAGGCAGACCAGAUGACAGCUCCCUACAUCAGCGCUGGCACAUGGUCAGGAUCAGUCUGCUUUAGUGGCGUGCUCUUUGGGUCAUAUUACAGCACACCAUAAUUUUGCAGUAACCACUGUUAAGGAGUACCAUGCUACUUACCUCUACAGGCAGCAAUGCAGAGCUCUGGCACAUCGUGGCUUUUGAAAAAAGUGGAUAUUCAUGAAGUGUUUGAGAAGAACCAUAAAUCCAUGCUUCAUGAAGAAUCUCUUACGGGGGCUCUCUCAUGUUAUGAGACAGACAAGGACAAAGCCGGACCACUGGCUGUUUUGAAGCCAUGUGUGUACUGUGACAGGCUGUACAACAGGUGGUUACUCAUGCCACAUUUUGAUGCUGACAUCAGCAAGCUGUCAAAGCUAUCAAGGGCACUGGAACUGAUUGAUAACAGCAGAACCUCAUUUCUAUACCAGAAUGUCUCUGCUUUACUGUCUACAGCAGGAGGAAAAGAAUCAGCACCACUACCUCACUGGCCACCCUGAUGGGGAAGACUCAUCUGUGAGUAAAACACAGGAAAAGAUUGUCUAGAGAGGCGGUGGAGUCCUCACCUGUCGAUAUCGACUGGUCCUGGGCAACCUGCUCUGGAAGUUCCUGCUUCAGCAAGGGAUGGACCAAUCUCUAAAGGCCCCGACCAACUUCAGUAAUUAUGUAAUUCUGUAGAAAGUUGGAACCUCAUUCAAAUGAGGAAAGUACAAGUGAAUACUACAGCAAGUAUAUACAGAAGCAGAAUAAUAUGAAACAUUAAAAAUCUGACAGGAGGGAGUAGGAAGAUGGAGCCAGACUCUUGUCAUCAUUGCCUAAUGACAGGACAAGUGGCAAUAGACAUGAUUUAUAAUAGAAGCUUCCCCACUUCAUGAUUCUGUUUUAAAAAUAUCCUAAGAUAUCAGCUCAUAUCUUGGUGGUCACCAGUGAAAUAAACUGACCAUUAGAAAAUAUGAGAAAAUAUUGAUAGAAUAAAACAAAAACCAUUCCUCACUGACAUUCAUAUUUUGUGUACUUUGUACACUUCUAGUCUUCUCAUCUGAAAAACAAGAUAUAGUAGGCAAGUGACUGUACAGCAAAGUGAAAAUAGGAUAACUAAAAUUGCAAUGAUACCCACAUGAGGAGUGAUUAGGUACAUCAGGAUUUCGCUCGCUAUUAAAAAACCCCCACAAAACUAUCAGAGGAUAUGAUAGAAAUCUAUAAAAUCAUGCAUGGUGUGGACUAAGCUGAUAUAUAGUUGCUCGUUUUCUAUUCUGAGAAGAGAAAUCAAAUGAAAGUAGCAGGUGUAGAGUACUAUUAUGUGUAUUAUGUGCUAUUAUGGUUUCAAUACAUAUGGAUGAGAAAUUCAUUUCUGUGAAGAAAAAUACAAUUAUUAUUGAAGAGAACUGUAGGUAUUAUAGAGGAAGAUACUAUCACUAUAGGCUUAGAAAGUCCUGGGUCACAAACUGCUGAAGGAUGCACUAACAUUCUGGGGAAGUACCAUUACAUGGUCUUGCUGAGGACACUACCAUUCCUGGUGACAGAUGGGCUUUGGUUGGAGCCAGUAAAACUGGUUGCCCCCAUUUGAAUUCACCUAUCUGUGUGCAUUUCUUCCAGUGACUGUGACAGCUUUAAUACAGAUCGUUGUUUGACUUACUUGGCAGUCACUCCCUUGAUGCUGUAGCUCUGCUCUUUGCCCACCAGGUCCUCAGAUUUUUCAUGAUUGCUUCAUACAGUGUUGUGCAAAGAGUGAGAUACUGAUGACAGUGGUUACUUAAUCCACCCAGAGACAUUCUGACAGCUAAUCCCAUCAGCACAUAAAACCAAAGGCUAGAUGAGGUAUGUUAAACCUUCAGAAGGGAUUAUGGAUAAGACAAUCCCAAGUAGGGAUAUCUCUUCCCUGCUUCGCUGUUAUCCAUGUUAAGUACUAGAAGCAACUGGAGAAAGUUACAUAAAUACAUUAUUUUUGAAAUGCAAAAUAACUCAAUUCCUGAUUUUCCUCCCUUGAAAUGAUCACUUAAAGUAAAACCUCAUUAGAGAUGAGAAGUUCUUUCAACAACUGCUUUCUAAGAAGGACUCCCAAUUGUCUUGCUUGUGGGAAAUAAGAGAUUUUGCUAAUGUAAAAAGUACUCCACACAGACACGUGCUUACCUUAUCUUCUUUGGCAAAUUUACUGUAUUCACAGAAAGCCUCUUUAGCUCUACCACCAACAUUGGAAGUCCAAAACAAACCCUAAAGUUGCUUUUGAAAAAUUCAUGACACAACAUAGAAACAGCAAGCUUUGGAAAAUGCUCUACUACUUUAUAUUUCACUAAUAUUCAGAGGGAAUACUGCAUGUGAACUGGGUUUGUCAGAUAUUCUUUGAUUUUUUUUCCUGUCUUCUGAUUUUAAUGGUAAAUAUAUUAGACACUGUGCUGCACUGGAUACAAAUACACUUGAACAAAGAACAACUCACAGCACAAACUGUUCAGUGUUUGUGAAGUACAUGUAAAGUUGGACUGCAGGAAAACUAAUACCCAAGCUCUGUUGUUCUUUCUUUGCCCUUUGAAAGCUGUUGUCUUACCUUUUUCAUUGUUGAUGUACUGUCGGUGCUAGAUGUACCUCAAAUAUCAAACCUGUUUUCUUCUUAUUUAAAAUAUAAUUAAAGUAUUGUAAGGAAUCUAACAAUCAUAAACAAGAAUCUAUUUCCAUAUCAUUAUUUAAAUAACUCUGUAGUUACCUCAGAGACAUUUAAAAAGGAAUAUUUAGGUCAUCCAGUCUUAAAAGCUGUCCUUAGUUUAAAGAUUCAUGACAUGAUGCAGGAAGAUAAAAUGCCAUUUUUGAGACAACUGCUUGCAUUAAGUGGGAUUAAGUGAUUAAUCGAUUCAUCUCACAAAAUUGAAUGGAACUAGGAGGUGGCAAGCCUUUUCAUCGUCUUCCAGUAGAGAAGGAAGAUGUGGUGUAUCUUGAACAUUACACCAUGUAUUUACCAAUAUAACAGCAUUUCAAAGCAACCAACUAAUCUUUUUUUACUUUUUAUUAUUAUUAGUUUUUUAAUUACCUUCAGCAAGCAGGUUACUUUAGCACAAAAUCUGGAAUCUACUCAUGAUCAUUAUGCAAGAUACACUUAACGAUCUACAAAACACUUGUUGGUUUUCUCUGAAAAAUCCUGUUAUAUCACUGUCAUGCAUAUACCUAAGGUAUAUAUGCCUUGGCAUUUUAGUGGCCAAAACACUGUUUUUCUUGUUCUCCUCCAAACAGCUGACUCUUGUCUGUUAUGACUCCAACAUGUGUAAUCCACUUCUUAAAACUGAGUUGACUAUAAGCAGUGUAUUCUAAUUGUCAACAGCUAAUGUACUUAUAGUCUUAAAUCUCCCCUUUCUGUGCACAGAAAGUAAGCAGGCACUGAGAGGAUCAACAGAUGUGAGUCCCCAGCUCUGGCUGCUGUUGGAGAUGAGGGGAGAGAUAAAUAUCAUGCAGCUGCUUCAUAAAAAUAAGCUGGAUUCUUCCGAAAAGGAGUCGCCAACCACAGUAAUCUCAUUUACAUUGUGGUCUCCAGAGAAGUCCUUCUCAGAGUUCUGAGACUUAUGCAGUACUUUUACUCCUUGCUGCUAUCUGCUGAAUAUGAAAUCAUAAGGAUGUGUCACUAUGUUUAAGGAUGUCAUGCAGAAAAGGAACUUCCCUGAAUCUGACACGUGAUGACAGUUACUCUUACCAACUUUGCAAAUUACUGCAUGAAGAAGAGAAAAAGAUUGAGCAUGUGUACACAUGUUGUUUCUGCUAGGAGUCACUGAUGAGCUUAGUAAUCAGGCUUGUUCCAUUGUGAAUCAUAACUGCUGACUCACUGUCAGGACAAUAUAUACUUUGGGUCAGCCACACAAUCUGGAAAUGGGAUAGAAGAAUGUGUCUUUGCAACAGGAGACCGGUAGAUUGCUGUCAGCAUCUUUCUGAACUGGCUGAGCUUCUCCACUUCUGCUGGACAUCGUGCCGAGUUGGCACAACUGAGAAAAUCCUUAAAAGUACCUAUGAAUUAAGGACUUUGGGAUCUAAAGACGUCCAUCAGUGUACCUAAAAAGCCUAAACAGAACCUGUAAAUUUCAAAGCGUUUUAACUUGUGACAGUAUUGGUGAUUAAAGAGAUAAGAGGAAAGCCAUGCGGCUAAGUAGCCACUCUUGGAUCGUGAAAUUCACAGCUCAUGUAAAACCAGACAGUGCUGACAGGGAAAACACAAACCACUGGCUCCCUUUUGAAAUCAGUCCUUGAUCUUUCUGCCAUCUUCUGUGGUAAACACAAUUAAAUUAUCUCCAUGUUUAAGCUACAGAAGCUAAGGCAGAUAGUUCAAGUGAUCUGACCAAAGCCUCUUAGGCACAGAAUUCACAGAUUGAGGCCUUGUUUAUUCCAGGUUGUCUCUCAUGUUACUGACUCAUGUAUGACACACUCGUCUUUGUCGCUAAGGGUAUACUACAGCAGGAAUGAGCUGGAUGGAUGUCCUUCUAGCCCUCGCUUGCCCUCAGUGGCAGUCCAGGGGAACACAGCUGUGCAAAGGUGCCAGGGUCCCCUGAGGACACACAAAAUUCAACGUCCCUGUCAUUACAGAUCUCAGCACUAAGGAAGGGGCUGUAAGUAACUGCCCAUCUUUUGAGAGAGGCAAUCACAAUUAGUCUCAAUGACCUGUUUUCCUGGUCAAUGAAAUGGCUGAAAACAAAAGGACUACAAUCUCUCUUUUCCUUAAAUUGAGAAUUAAUUGAGACAAGGUGCUUUGGGUUCUCCACUGAGUUGCAAUUUUAUACCAGUGGGAUCUGGACGUUCCAAGACUUGGGGAGCACAACUGCGACAAAAACUGUCCCAAAUGCUUAAUAUAUUGGACAGGUAAUUUCAAUACUGAAAUUACAGGAGAUAUCUUUGUCAAGAUGUUUUCCUUUCUUUGUCACAUCCCUGAAGUAAUCAAAACCUUAGGAGCACUGAUCUCGUACUCUCGCUGCAGCUGAGAUGGAGCUUACACUUUUCUGUUUCUCUGAGUCCUGGAUCUGGUCAGGAACUGGGCAGCUUUUAUGAAAGACUAUAAAAGCAUGGAGAGAAGUACUCUGAAGUACAAAUUUCAUCUUUCUUUCACUAUACACCUCCAUAUGUGGGAGGAGCUGACUUGGAACCAGUUAUGCUAGUUUUCUACCAUUUCUCUUAGUAGUUUAUGAGGAAUGAGGCGUGUAAGUAUAAUAAUUUAUAGAUAUUAUAUACAGACAAGUUAAUCUGUUUGGUACUAUUCUGAUAGAAACUAGAAGAGAUCACUGAAAGAAAUCAAGAAUAAAGGGAAUAGGAGAUAAAAAUGCAGUCGAAAGCUCUCCAUUGUUCUUCUAGGAAGAAUAAUAAUCAGGCAAGGCUAAUGAUGCUGUUGUGGCUUGGCCCUCCAAAAUCUGAGGCCAGGAUCAAAAGGGAUCAUAAAAGACAAUCAGGUGAAAAUUUCCACAACUAUUAAAGAAAAGAUUUGGGUUAGUUGUCAUAACCAAGGACUCCUGACAAGUCCUGAAAAGCAUGCAGGAAAUCAGACAGACAGACAUGAAUUACAGCAGGCUAGAUGUCUCUCCCAAAUCAGAGACAGCUUCACUGGAAAUAUCCUACACGAGCUUCAUGGCAAAAUAAGUUGAUAUUUAGUUCUAAUGGUUGUAUGUACCUUAGUGAAUAAUACUUCACUUUGAAGGAACUAUGUCUGAAAUGCUUUAAUCAUCCAUUAUCGCUGGCUUCUGGAGUACAGCUGGUACACGCAUAACAUGGCCUGGCUUUUUGGAGUUAAAACAGGUGUCACAGACUGCAAACAGGUCAACUGCCGCAGACAGAUUUGAUGUCAGAUGACUACACGGCUCAGUCUGUACAGGGACAACACAAAGAAACACCAGUUCUUAAGGGUCUUGCUGAGGAAGGUCUAAAGCAUCACUUCCAUACACACGAACAAGACAUCUCAUGCAGGGCAAGUUUUGCCUGCUUUCAUGUGACUGUUUAUCAUUAAGGUGAAGGAUCUGCAUGCCAUACUGAAAAAUUCUUCCUUCUGUGUGACAUACAGAAUUAUAAUUUGAAUCGCGACUAAUACCCAUAUUGAAUAGUUUGAUUCUAUGGCUAUAAUGGGAAACAACAGAAAACAAAUAACAAAAAAAAUAAAAACAAAUACCCUUUAACUUCAAAGGAUUUGAUAUCCAUAGCAGAAUACUUUGCUGUUUGGGUCCACCUUCCAAAUUCAAAUUCAAAUUCUGUUUCACCCUAAGAUCCCACAGCUCCUUAACACGGCACUAUAAGCUACAGAGCAUAAACACACUCUCCUCCCAGACCACUGCAAAGCGUAAUCCACACCAAGAAAACAAAAUCACACCUUCAACAAA
ensembl:lncRNA